AGAUCUAAAAUCUAGAUCUAGAGAAUCUAGUAGAUCUAGAUAGAUUCUAGAUCUAGAUUAGAUCUAGUUUAGGUACUUGGCAAGCAAUUUUCUCACACUUUACUGUGGCUAUUUGUGCUGAUCUUGAGCUAAAGGUAAAUGGAACAGCAUGGAUGUGGAUUUUUAGACACAAGGAAGCUGAAUUUAACUUUUAAUGAAGAAUUUAAAUGAUGAUUGUCCAUGAAAAGAAAUAUUAAUCAUAUACAUUGUAAUGCUGUAUUGAUGCAUCUUCUGUUUUAAUUAAUUAAA